CACACACACACACACACACGUCCCUUUUUUUCUUGAGUCAUAUUCAUCUUUCACAGAGACAUUAAACUUCGUUUACAUAAGCCAAGAUUCAUGUCUGGAGACUGAAAAUGAGCUGUUCUCCAGGACCAGUGAUUGUACUACUCUUAAUGAUCGGAAGAGUCAAUGGAGACUCAGUGAACCAGACAGAAGGCCAAGUGACGGUCUUUGAACGAGCUUCCCUAACACUGAAUUGUUCUUAUGAAACCAAACAGUAUCCAAACCUAUUCUGGUAUGUCCAAUACCCUGGAGAAAGUCUGCAGCUCCUCCUGAAAGCCAUGAAAGCCAAUGAUCAGGGACGAAACAAAGGUUUUGAAGCCACAUAUGUUACAGAAACCAGCUCUUUCCACUUGAAGAAAGCCUCAGUGCAACAGUCAGACUCGGCUGUGUACUACUGUGCUCUGAGGGACACAGUGGCAGGAACUGCGGGGUAG